rnacentral:rRNA from 1 species
UAGAGUUUGAUCCUGGCUCAGAUUGAACGCUGGCGGCAUGCUUUACGCAUGCAAGUCGAACGGCAGCGCGGGGCAACCUGGCGGCGAGUGGCGAACGGGUGAGUAAUACAUCGGAACGUACCCAGAAGUGGGGGAUAACGUAGCGAAAGUUACGCUAAUACCGCAUACGUUCUACGGAAGAAAGUGGGGGAUCUUCGGACCUCAUGCUUUUGGAGCGGCCGAUGUCUGAUUAGCUAGUUGGUGAGGUAAAGGCUCACCAAGGCGACGAUCAGUAGCUGGUCUGAGAGGACGACCAGCCACACUGGGACUGAGACACGGCCCAGACUCCUACGGGAGGCAGCAGUGGGGAAUUUUGGACAAUGGGCGCAAGCCUGAUCCAGCAAUGCCGCGUGAGUGAAGAAGGCCUUCGGGUUGUAAAGCUCUUUUGUCAGGGAAGAAACGGCUGGGGCUAAUAUCCCCGGCUAAUGACGGUACCUGAAGAAUAAGCACCGGCUAACUACGUGCCAGCAGCCGCGGUAAUACGUAGGGUGCAAGCGUUAAUCGGAAUUACUGGGCGUAAAGCGUGCGCAGGCGGUUUUGUAAGUCUGACGUGAAAUCCCCGGGCUCAACCUGG